rnacentral:lncRNA from 1 species
UUUAACGUAGAGGAGUUGGAGAAGAUAGAAGGAGAGCUCAAAGGGAAAGCCAAGUAUUUUGGAGGGGAGGGAAAUAUUGGGUAUAAUGGAGGUUAUGAAAUAGACUUUGUGGUAUCACAAAAAAACAAAUGAGCAAGUCAACAAGAGAGCUCGGAUCGAAUCAAUCUAUCGUAUCAAUACCGAUUUUAUAAUUCUUUUCAGGAAGAAGCGGUAAUUCGGAAUGAUAAGAUCCAAGAAAUUAGCAUAAAAUUUAAUGAUUCGUGGGUAUUUGAUGAGUGCAACGAGGCAUCAGAGAAUAGUCCCUUAUAGAGAAAUUGGAAUAAGUUUGGCAGCCGAUCACGAAUUUUUGGUGAUCUUCUAUAUCUAAUAAAUAAUUAGAGUAAAAAUUAGGAUAAAAAGUAAAGUGAAAGAUAAAAAUGAGGAAGAAUAAAUUAUUUUCUUGUAUGUAUUUGAUUGAAAUUAUUUUUUGGCAACCACGUGUAAAAACUUCUAUAUGUAGUUACUAAAAUUUACCCAUAAAUUUAUGAAAAGAAAGAGGAAACGUGGGAAAUCGUAGCAAAAUCGGAAGUCGAAUUUGAGUUGGUUACUUUCACUGAAAAUAUAACUUUGAAAUGAGUUAGGUAAGAUUACACUAUUUUCAUGCUAAACAAAUUUUUAAAAAUAUUAUAUCUUUUUUCUCUUUCAUGCAUUUUUUGUUGGAAAAAGUUUGUUGGGGUUUUUAAAAAAAUAUUAUAUCUUUUUUCACUUUCAUGCAUUUUUUUGUUGGAAAAAGUUUAUUGGGUUUUCUUAAAACAAACAUAAAGUUUCAACAUAAAUAUAAAAAGUUAAAUGACAACAGAUAAUUAAAAAGAUAGAUUAUAAUAACAUUUUUAUAAACUUACAAGAAUGUAAAAUAAACCGUAAAAUGUAAUGGCUAUGCUUGAAUUAGAUUCAGUGUCUCUAAGUCGUUUUAUGCCCCACACUUGGUACUCUCAGAAUACUACGAACGACUCUCAUAAUACAACAAUUUUGAUCUUUUGAUAAUAAUACUCCAGAUCAAAAGAUUACGGCAAACCUGUAUACUAAAAUGUUGGAUGGUAAGCAAUUUCAACACUUCAUUCUAUUUUUCAAUUGUCUAUCAAAUCAAUCAAUCAAGAAUGAUGUUUUUCUGAAUGGUCACAGCUUUUCGAAGAGGUAUUAUGUCUUUAUGGUCACACCUCUUACAUAAGGUACUCAUUUUUUUUUCUGUACACACACUGUUUCACUAUGCGGAUCAGUAAUGCAAGAAUGAGAAAUCUACUCAUAAUUCUGGAGAAGGAUAUUGGUGCAUCUAGAAAACAACUAGCAAUACUAUCAUUAAUUCACAAAUUGAGAAAAAAUUUAGGAUGGGUUAUGAUUUUCGCACUCUCUUUAUUAUCAAAUGCAGUUUAUUUAUUUAUUGUUGUUUUAUUACGUAGUUUUUAAAUAAAUGUAUAAACUCACCUUCUCUAGAGAAGAAACAAAGUAAAAAUACAAGAGAAUAAAGGGAGGCAAUUUUGUUAAUUACAUAGAAGAAAAGAAAACAGUGAAAGGAUUGCGUGAGCCGUGACCUAAACUAUCCAAACGAGUCAAAAUUGCCGUCUAAGACAAGUCUUAAACCCUUUUACUAGCAACUAAGCACCACACAUAAGCCUUGCCCCCAUGGCGUAGCUCAAUUGGUUCACAGGUGGUAAAUUGCCACCAAAAGCGCAGGUUCGAGUCAUGGCAGCCGCAGCGUGAGAGUUACACUCAAAAUUGGGUUGGCUCCUUGUGAGCACUAUACACUGAGCCUCCACCUAUUGGGCCGCUGAGUACCUGAUUUACCUGCCAUGCUAUCCCCUUGGUGCUGGGCUGCAUGGCCCGGCUAAGGUGUCCAGCCAUACACCUUUUGCCACCAAAAGCACCACACAUAAGCCUCUCUCUCUCUCUCUAAAAUGAUAAAGCUUGUGGGAUUCUGGUUGAGCCCAUUUGUUUUGAGAGUGAGUUGGGCUCUGAAACUGAAGGGUGUUGAGUAUGAGUACAUUGAAGAAGACAUCUUCAACAAGAGUCCUCUGCUUCUGGAGCUGAACCCAGUCCACAAGAAAGUACCUGUGCUGGUUCAUGGCCAUAAUGUGAUAGUUGAGUCCCUUGUGAUACUAGAGUACAUUGAUGAGACUUGGAAACAGUACCCCUUGUUGCCUCAAGAGCCUUGUGACAGAGCCAAUGCAAGGUUUUGGGCCAAGUUCGCUGAGGAAAAGGUGAUUAUUUCCUUGCUUUAAUUUUUGCUAACAUCGAUCUGCUUUUUCAAUUUUCUCUUUUUUGCUACAUUAUGUAGGUAGAUUUACUCAUUGAAAUUGGUUACUCAUAUACAGAGAUUAAUUACUAUAGUUUCAAUCACC